rnacentral:rRNA from 1 species
UACAGAGGUCCCAAGCGUUGUUCGGAUUCACUGGGCGUAAAGGGUGCGUAGGUGGUGGGGUAAGUUUGAUGUGAAAUCUCCGGGCUUAACCCGGAAAUGGCAUUGAAUACUACUGUGCUGGAGGUUUGGAGGGGGGACUGGAAUUCUCGGUGUAGCAGUGAAAUGCGUAGAUAUCGAGAGGAACACCAGUGGCGAAGGCGAGUCCCUGGACAACACCUGACACUGAGGCACGAAAGCUAGGGGAGCAAACAGG